rnacentral:rRNA from 1 species
UACCAGCACCCCGAGUGGUCGGGACGUUUAUUGGGCCUAAAGCAUCCGUAGCCGGUUCUGCAAGUCUUCCGUUAAAUCCACCUGCUUAACAGAUGGGCCGCGGAAGAUACUAUAGAGCUAGGAGGCGGGAGAGGCAAGCGGUACUCGAUGGGUAGGGGUAAAAUCCGUUGAUCCAUUGAAGACCACCAGUGGCGAAGGCGGCUGACUGGACAUGUAUUGACGCUGAGGUGCGAAAGCGUGGGGAGCAAACAGG